GACGAACGCUGGCGGCGUGCUUAACACAUGCAAGUCGAACGAUGAAGAAGAGAAACGCGAACUUCGGUUCAAAUUUCACUUCGGAUUAGUGGCAGACGGUAGAGUAACGCUUGAGCAACCUACCUCUUACAAAGGGAUAGCCUCGGGAAACCGUGAUUAUUACCAUAUGACACCUUCAUAAGGCGUCUUAAGAAUGUUAAAGCUACGGCGGUAAGAGAUGGGCUCGCGUCCCAUUAGCUAGUUGGUGAGGUAACGGCCCACCAAGGCGACGAUGGGUAACCGGCCUGAGAGGGUGAACGGUGACAUUGGAACUGAGACACGGUCCAAACUCCUACGGGAGGCAGCAGUGGGGAAUAUUGCACAAUGGAGGGAACUCUGAUGCAGCGACGCCGCGUGAGCGAUGAAGGAAUUCGUUUCGUAAAGCUCUGUUCUAUGGGAAGAAAAGGACUGUACCAUAGGAGAAAGCCCCGGCUAAAUACGUG
rnacentral:rRNA from 1 species